rnacentral:rRNA from 1 species
GACGAACGCUGGCGGCGUGCCUAAUACAUGCAAGUCGAGCGCAGGAAGUCAUCCGAACCCUUCGGGGGGACGUUGACGGAAUGAGCGGCGGACGGGUGAGUAACACGUAAAGAACCUGCCCUCAGGUCUGGGAUAACCACGAGAAAUCGGGGCUAAUACCGGAUGGGUCAUCGGACCGCAUGGUCCGAGGAUGAAAGGCGCUCCGGCGUCGCCUGGGGAUGGCUUUGCGGUGCAUUAGCUAGUUGGUGGGGUAACGGCCCACCAAGGCGACGAUGCAUAGCCGACCUGAGAGGGUGAUCGGCCACACUGGGACUGAGACACGGCCCAGACUCCUACGGGAGGCAGCAGUAGGGAAUCUUCCACAAUGGACGAAAGUCUGAUGGAGCAGCGCCGCGUGAACGAUGAAGGCCCUCGGGUCGUAAAGUUCUGUUGUAAGGGAAGAACAAGUGCCGCAGGCAAUGGCGGCACCUUGACGGUACCUUGCGAGAAAGCCACGGCUAACUACGUG